rnacentral:rRNA from 1 species
AGAGUUUGAUCCUGGCUCAGGACGAACGCUGGCGGCGUGCCUAACACAUGCAAGUCGAGCGGGGAGAGAUUUUCGGAUUUCUCUUUAGCGGCGGACGGGUGAGUAACACGUGGGUAACCUGCCUCAAAGUGGGGGAUAGCCUUCCGAAAGGAAGAUUAAUACCGCAUAACAUCAAAGCACUGCAUGGUGCUUUGAUCAAAGGAGCAAUCCGCUUUGAGAUGGACCCGCGGCGCAUUAGCUAGUUGGUGAGGUAACGGCCACCAAGGCGACGAUGCGUAGCCGACCUGAGAGGGUGAUCGGCCACAUUGGAACUGAGACACGGUCCAGACUCCUACGG